UUGCCCACCCCCCAGCACCAGGUGUGGCCACUAGUCUAUAUGAAGGCCCAAAAUUGUGUGUUCCUUUCUGCUCUGACAAUGGCAUGCCCAUUCGUGCGAGAUGUGGUGGAUGAAGAAGCACUUGUGCUGAGGAGAGCCUUCAGGCGAGAAAGGGUCUUCAGGGACCGGUUGGACCCAUUGGCCUUCCCUGAUGACCAUCUAUAUGAAAGAUACAGGCUUUCUGCAGAUGGCAUCAGGUAUCUAUGCAGACUACUGGGUCCCAGGAUUAAGCACCGCACUGCACGGAGCCAUGCACUGAGUGUGGAGCAAAUGGUUUGUGUGGCCUUGCGCUUUUUUUGCUAGUGGAGCCUUCCUGUACUCAGUGGGGGAUGCAGAACAGCUGAACAAGGCCACAAUUUGCCGCACAAUAAGGAGUGUGUGUCUGGCUAUCAAAGCAUUAGCAGAUGUCUUCAUCUCCUUCCCUGGCCACAGAAGACUCUGUGACAUCAAAGAGGAGUUCUAUAGGAUUGCAGAUGGUCUGCAAUGCUGACUGUGUGAUCAGCAAUGUUGUGGCAAAAUGGCCUGGCUCAGUCCAUGACUCCAGAAUCUUUCGGGCCUCUGAAAUCUAUCAGUGCCUAUCACAAGGUGAAUUCUCUGGUGUGUUGCUGGGAGACAGGGGGUAUGGCUGCCAGCCUUUCUCCUGACACCUUUCACAGACCCCCAGGAAGCACAGCAGGCCUACAACCAUGCCCAUGCCAGGACCAGGGCCAGAGUUGAAAUGACCUUUGGCCUCCUGAAGGCACGCUUUUCACUGCCUUCACAAAUUAAGGGUCAGCCCUGUUAGGGCAUGUGAUAUUACUGUGGCUUGUGCUGUCCUCCACAAUGUGGCCUGCCUGAGGAAGGAGAGGGCCCCCAGAGUGCCACCAGCCAUGGACUGGGACAAUCCGGCAAUCUUCCCUGAUGACGACAGUGGUCGGCUGCUGAGGGACCAAUAUGUGUUGAAUUAUUUUAGUUAGUAUGCGUGCUUUCAAUUUUGGUUAAAAUAUGUCC